rnacentral:rRNA from 1 species
AACGAACGCUGGCGGCAUGCCUAACACAUGCAAGUCGAACGAGACCUUCGGGUCUAGUGGCGCACGGGUGCGUAACGCGUGUGAACCUGCCCUUAGGUUCGGAAUAACUCCCCGUAAGGGGUGCUAAUACCGUAUUAUGUCUUCGGCCCAAAGAUUUAUCGCCUUUGGAUGGGCCCGCGUUGGAUUAGUUAGUUGGUUGGGUCAAAGCCUACCAAGGCGACGAUCCAUAACUGGUCUGAGAGGAUGAUCAGCCACACUGGGACUGGGACGCGGCCCAGACUCCUAAGGGAAGCAGCAGUGAGGAAUAUCGAAAAAGGAGCGAAAGACUGAUCCAGCAAUGCCGCGUAAGUGAUGAAGGCCUUAGGGUGGUAAAGCUCUUUUACCCGGGAUGAUAAUGACAGUACCGGGAGAAUAAGCGCCGGCUAACUCCGUG